UACGUAGGGGGCGAGCGUUGUCCGGAGUUACUGGGCGUAAAGCGUGCGUAGACGGUAGCGUAAGUCAGAUGUGAAAGCCCCGGGCUCAACCUGGGAAUUGCAUUUGAGACUGCUCUGCUCGGGUGCGGAAGAGGGAAGCGGAAUUUCCGGUGUAGCGGUGAAAUGCGUAGAUAUCGGAAGGAACACCAGUGGCGAAAGCGGCUUCCUGGUCCGACACCGACGUUCAGGCACGAAAGCGUGGGGAGCAAACAGG
rnacentral:rRNA from 1 species